AGCUCCAGUAGCGUAUAUUAAAGUUGUUGCAGUUAAAAAGCUCGUAGUUGGAUUUCUGGUGUGACCUGCUCGGUACGUCCUUUAUGGAAUGUUUAUUGGGUCGGUCCAUCAUCCUUCUGGGGAGUCCCAGCCCUGUCUCUGGCAGGGAGGGGAACUAACUUUCCAGAUCUUUUACUUUGAAGAAAUUAGAGUGUUUAAAGCAGGUUCGCUGUGAAUACAUUAGCAUGGAAUAAUAACAUAGGACUUCGGUCUCUAUUUUGUUGGUUUCUAGAGUUGAAGUAAUGAUUGAUAGGGAUAGUUGGGGGUGCUAGUAUUGAGUGGUGAGAGGUGAAAUUCGUGGAUCCACUCAAGACUAACUUAUGCGAAAGCAUUCACCAAGGAUAUCUUCUUUAAUCAAGAA
rnacentral:rRNA from 1 species